rnacentral:rRNA from 1 species
UACAGAGGGUGCAAGCGUUGCUCGGAAUCAUUGGGCGUAAAGGGCGCGUAGGCGGUCACGCACGUCCGUUGUGAAAUCGCUCGGCUCAACUGGGCGGGGUCAGCGGAUACGGCGUGGCUGGAGCAAGCUAGGGGGCAAUGGAAUUCCCGGUGUAGUGGUGGAAUGCGUAGAUAUCGGGAGGAACACCAGUGGCGAAGGCGGUUGCCUGGAGCUUUGCUGACGCUGAUGCGCGAAAGCGUGGGGAGCGAUCCGG